UACGUAGGGUGCAAGCGUUAAUCGGAAUUACUGGGCGUAAAGCGUGCGCAGGCGGUUGUGCAAGACAGAUGUGAAAUCCCCGGGCUUAACCUGGGAACUGCGCUUGUAACUGGCAAGCUAGAGUGUGGCAGAGGGGGGUGGGAAUUCCGCGUGUAGCAGUGAAAUGCGUAGAUAUGCGGAGGAACACCGAUGGCGAAGGCAAUCCCCUGGGCCUGCACUGACGCUCAUGCACGAAAGCGUGGGGAGCAAACAGG
rnacentral:rRNA from 1 species